rnacentral:rRNA from 1 species
CCUACGGGUGGCAGCAGUGAGGAAUAUUGGUCAAUGGACGCAAGUCUGAACCAGCCAUGUCGCGUGCAGGAAGACGGCCCUAUGAGUUGUAAACUGCUUUUGUACGAGGGUAAACGCAGAUACGUGUAUCUGUCUGCAAGUAUCGUACGAAUAAGGACCGGCUAACUCCGUGCCAGCAGCCGCGGUAAUACGGAGGAUUCAAGCGUUAUCCGGAUUUAUUGGGUUUAAAGGGGGCGUAGGCGGUCGGAUAAGUUAGAGGUGAAGUCCCGAGGCUCAACCUCGGAAUUGCCUCUGAUACUGUUGGGCUAGAGAGUAGGUGCGGUAGGCGGAAUGUAUGGUGUAGCGGUGAAAUGCUUAGAGAUCACACAGAACACCGAUUGCGAAGGCAGCUUACCAAGGUACUUCUGACGUUGAGGCACGAAAGCGUGGGGAGCAAACAGGAUUAGAUACCCUAGUAGUC